rnacentral:rRNA from 1 species
AUGCCGGCCAUGCAAGUGCCGGAGCAGAGCACCGGGCCCGUGAACCUGCUGAUGAGCCCCGGCCGGGCUUCGCCGCCGCCCACCUCCCCGCAGCCGCGCCACGGGAGGCUGGUCACCGUGCUGAGCAUCGACGACGGCGGCGUGCGCGGGAUCAUCCCCGGCACCAUCCUCGCUUUCCUCGAAAAAAAGCUUCAGGAGUUUGAUGGGUCGGACGUGAGGAUCGCGGAUACUUCGAUGUGGUCGCCGGAACGAGCACCGGAGGCCUGGUCGCCGCCAUGCUCACCGCGCCCAAUGCCGAGGGCCGCCCACUCUUCGCCGCCAAGGACAUCAACAAGUUCUACCUCGAGCACUGCCCGAAUACCUUCCCUGCCGUCUGCAAAGGACCUCUGGGCUUGUUCAAGAGCAUGAUGGGACCCAAGUACAACGGCCAGCACUUGCACUCAAUCCUGAAGGAGCUGCUCGGCGACACGCGAGUCAGUCAGACACUCAAGAGCAUCGUCGUCAUCCCCACUUUCGACAUCAAGCUCCUUCAGCCAACGAUAUGCAUCUAUAUACAUGCCAGGUGGGAUGUCUCCAAGGAUGCUCUUCUAUCGGACGUCUGCAUCAGUACGUCUGCCGCGCCGACCUACCUUCCCGGGCACCAUUUCGAGACCAAGGACAAAAACGGUAAGACCCGGGCCUUCAACCUCAUCGACGGGGGCGUCGCCGCUAACAAUCCGACCCUUGUGGCCAUGACCCACGUAAGCAAGCAGAUCCUAAUGAAAAACCGACACUUUUUCCCUGUCAAGCCGGCGGAGUACGGCAAGUUCAUGGUCCUUUCGUUGGGCACUGGCACCGCCAAGGUCGAAGAGAAGUUCGACGCUGCCAAGUGCAGCAAGUGGGGCCUUCUCGGAUGGCUCUACAAAGGGGGCACCACGCCGAUCAUAGACAGCUUCAGCCAAGCCAGCGCCGAUCUCGUCGAUAUCCAGGCAUUCGUGCUCUUCCAGGCGCUACACUACGACUACGAUAGGCGCUACCUCCGGAUCCAGGACGAUGAGCUCACGGGCGAAACGGCCUCCGUCGACGUGUCCACGACGGAGAACCUCAAAAGGCUCAUCGAUGUCGGCAAGGCAUUGUUAAAGAGGCAGGUGUGCAAGGUGAACAUCGACACGGGCAAGAACGAGCCCGACCUAGAGAGGGGCACUAACGAGGAGGAACUGACCCAUUUCGCCCGCGUGUUGUCGGAAGAGCGCAAAGCCAGAUCGACUUGCGGAGGUGGUUUUGAAACUUAG